rnacentral:piRNA from 1 species
UCCUAUCGGUAGUCAGGUAAAGUCCUAAUA